rnacentral:rRNA from 1 species
AGGAAAAGAAACCAACAGGGAUUGCCCUAGUAACGGCGAGUGAAGCGGCAACAGCUCAAAUUUGAAAUCUGGCUCUCGGGCCCGAGUUGUAAUUUGUAGAGGAUACUUUUGAUGCGGUGCCUUCCGAGUUCCCUGGAACGGGACGCCAUAGAGGGUGAGAGCCCCGUCUGGUUGGAUGCCAAAUCUCUGUAAAGUUCCUUCAACGAGUCGAGUAGUUUGGGAAUGCUGCUCUAAAUGGGAGGUAUAUGUCUUCUAAAGCUAAAUACCGGCCAGAGACCGAUAGCGCACAAGUAGAGUGAUCGAAAGAUGAAAAGCACUUUGAAAAGAGAGUUAAAAAGUACGUGAAAUUGUUGAAAGGGAAGCGUUUAUGACCAGACUUGGGCUUGGUUAAUCAUCUGGGGUUCUCCCCAGUGCACUUUUCCAGUCCAGGCCAGCAUCAGUUUUCCCCGGGGGAUAAAGGCGGCGGGAAUGUGGCUCUCUUCGGGGAGUGUUAUAGCCCACCGUGUAAUACCCUGGGGGGGACUGAGGUUCGCGCAUCUGCAAGGAUGCUGGCGUAAUGGUCAUCAACGACCCGUCUUGAAACACGGACCAAGGAGUCGUCUUCGUAUGCGAGUGUUCGGGUGUCAAACCCCUACGCGUAAUGAAAGUGAACGCAGGUGAGAGCUUCGGCGCAUCAUCGACCGAUCCUGAUGUUCUCGGAUGGAUUUGAGUAAGAGCAUACGGGGCCGGACCCGAAAGAAGGUGAACUAUGCCUGUAUAGGGUGAAGCCAGAGGAAACUCUGGUGGAGGCUCGCAGCGGUUCUGACGUGCAAAUCGAUCGUCAAAUAUGGGCAUGGGGGCGAAAGACUAAUCGA